rnacentral:rRNA from 1 species
AACGAACGCUGGCGGCGUGUUUAAGACAUGCAAGUCGCACGGUGUCAUUUUGGUAGCAAUACUUGGAUGGCACAGUGGCGCACGGGUGAGUAACACGUGAAUGACAUGCCCUGCAGAGGGGGAUAGCCCAGGGAAACUUGGAUUAAUACCCCAUGGUAUCGCGAGACUAAAGGGUGGCCGCAAGGCUGCCGCUGCGGGAUUGGUUCGCGUUCUAUCAGCUUGUUGGCGGGGUAACGGCCCACCAAGGCUACGACGGAUACCUGGUCUGAGAGGACGAUCAGGCACACUGGAACUGGGACACGGUCCAGACACCUACGGGUGGCAGCAGUCGAGAAUAAUUCACAAUGGGGGCAACCCUGAUGGUGCAACGCCGCGUGGAGGAUGAAGGUCUUCGGAUUGUAAACUCCUGUCAUCCGGGAGCAAGACCUGGGAGUUAACAGCUCACAGGGUUGAUAGUACCGGAAGAGGAAGGGACGGCUAACUUCGUGCCAGCCGCCGGCAGUAAAAC